ACUAUCCCUCUCUCUCACUUGUUUUCAUCGACUUCUUCUCGAACUUUACUUUUCUCGGCUCAAAAAAAAAUCAGAGAAAAAUGAGUGAAAUCGGUUAAGAGAAACUGAGUAACAAAAACCUAAAUCAACUCGAAACCAGAAACUAAACCAAAAAGCUUCAACUGAUGUAUGAUUUGCUGACCUAAAAACUCGUAUCAAAAACCCUAAUUUACAAAUCUCUAUCUUGAAAAUUCAACUGAUACUCUUAGAUUGAAACUCUCAGAAGAAGAUUCAAUUGAAGAAUUAGAAACCCUAGAAAUCUCUAUCCUCAGAAGAAGAUUGAAGUAAAAUCUUUGGAGAUUCAGAAGAAGAUUCAAGUAAAAUCUUUGAAGUUUCAGGAGAUGUUGAACUGCAUGAAACGCAAGGCACCUACAUCAUCGGCUCGUGUAGGCACUCCCAGCCCAGAGAAAGGGUCAAAUUCUCACUUAGGUCAUCAACAUGAUCAAGGCUUGGAUCAUGAUGACAAUAUAUCUAAUGAAUUUCCUUCCUUGCAAGUUCAACUGCUAGAUAAUAGAAGAAGGGUUGUUGCAUCAGGAUGUAUUGUUGUCGGCGAUUAUGUUCAUUGUAGAAAGGUGAAGCCAACAGAGAAUAGGAUCUAUGUCGAGGGAGUUCAUGAUCAAUCUGCUUUAAUAUGGGAUGGUACACAAGGAGAUGACUCUUACUUUUUGAAGGAUCUAAAACUACCUACUUUUCUGAUCUGGUCUGAGGAUAGGUUGCGGUUGGUGCCAGCCAAGGUCUGCUAACAUCCUAGUUUGUAAUCUUUUUGUGUUCUUUUGCGUAAUGAUGAUAGGUUCAACACAAGCAUAUCAACCAGUUGGCAGAGCAUUUCUAUAUUUUUGGUUUUUUUGGUGUUCUUUUUUGUUAUUUCAGAUGUAGUUAUGCUCUUUUGUGCAUAUCAAGGACAGGUUCGACACUAGCACAUGGCAAAUUCAACUUGUUGCAUAUACGAAUUUGCUUGUUAGUGUCCUUUUUUGUUUAUUCCAACCUUUGUAGUGUUGUCUAGCACAGUGAGGUUAGGUUUUUUUGGGGUCUGUAACUGCCAUACUUACUUAAUAUAAUUAUCUUAUUAAUUUGGUGUUCA